rnacentral:rRNA from 1 species
UACGGGGGGGGCAAGCGUUGUUCGGAAUUACUGGGCGUAAAGGGUUCGUAGGUGGCCACUUAAGUCAGACGUGAAAUCCCUCAGCUUAACUGGGGAACUGCGUCUGAUACUGAGUGGCUUGAGUGCAGGAGAGGAAUGCGGAAUUCCAGGUGUAGCGGUGAAAUGCGUAGAUAUCUGGAGGAACACCGGUGGCGAAGGCGGCAUUCCGGACUGUAACUGACACUGAGGAACGAAAGCCAGGGGAGCAAACGGG